ACUCCAGAAAAUUUAGAUGAAAGAAUUCGGAGGAACUCUUGCUGUGAUAUGUUGCCGUAAAAGAUUCAUAUCACAGCAGUAGUUACCUGGUAUUCUUUCGCCUUUCUUCACCUUUACCAAGGAGC